rnacentral:rRNA from 1 species
GACGAACGCUGGCGGCAUGCCUAACACAUGCAAGUCGAACGAGAUCUUCGGGUCUAGUGGCGCACGGGUGCGUAACGCGUGGGAAUCUGCCCUUUGGUUCGGAAUAACAGUUGGAAACGACUGCUAAUACCGGAUGAUGACGAAAGUCCAAAGAUUUAUCGCCAGAGGAUGAGCCCGCGUAGGAUUAGCUAGUUGGUGUGGUAAAGGCGCACCAAGGCGACGAUCCUUAGCUGGUCUGAGAGGAUGAUCAGCCACACUGGGACUGAGACACGGCCCAGACUCCUACGGGAGGCAGCAGUGGGGAAUAUUGGACAAUGGGCGAAAGCCUGGUCCAGCAAUGCCGCGUGAGUGAUGAAGGCCUUAGGGUUGUAAAGCUCUUUUACCCGGGAUGAUAAUGACAGUACCGGGAGAAUAAGCUCCGGCUAACUCCGUGCCAGCCGCCGCCGUAAUAC